rnacentral:rRNA from 1 species
AACGAACGCUGGCGGCAUGCCUAACACAUGCAAGUCGAGCGCCUGUAGCAAUACAGGAGCGGCGCACGGGUGAGUAACGCGUGGGAACCUGCCCUUAGGUUCGGAACAACCGCGGGAAACUGCGGCUGAUACCGGAUGAUGUCUUCGGACCAAAGAUUUAUCGCCUUUGGAGGGGCCCGCGUCGGAUUAGGUAGUUGGUGAGGUAACGGCUCACCAAGCCUGCGAUCCGUAGCUGGUCUGAGAGGAUGACCAGCCACACUGGGACUGAGACACGGCCCAGACUCCUACGGGAGGCAGCAGUGGGGAGUAUUGGACAAUGGGGGCAACCCUGAUCCAGCAAUGCCGCGUGGGUGAUGAAGGCCUUCGGGUUGUAAAGCCCUUUCGGCGGGGACGAUGAUGACGGUACCCGCAGAAGAAGCCCCGGCUAACUUCGUGCCAGCAGCCGCGGUAACAC